AUUUUUUAAUUGUUAACAUUUCUAAUAAAAUACAAUCACAAUUAACUGAUGAGAUGAAAAGUUAUCACAAACCUAAGGUGUGUAACCGAACAAUUAAUUGUUAAACUUAAAUCAUCUUCUUAAUUGUCGACAAUUAAGUUGAUUUAAUUGGAUUCGAUUUUUUUUCUUUAAUUUAAUCAAAGAGAUGGAGACACAAUCGAUUAGAAUUUCAAAUUCUCAUUUGUUUUUAUUUCUUUUCCUUGUUAAUUGUUAUGUUAAUUUCUUGUUCUCUGUUUCUUUUAAUUAAUAUUUAGUUAAUUACUAAUUUCAGUUUCACUUUGAUGAGUAACAAUUGACUAAUUUUAGUUAACUAAUCAAACUUAAUCAAUAUGGUCAAUUGUGAUUAGUCUUUUAAUUGUCAUCGUCUAUUUGUUAACAUGUUGUCAUUGUCCCAAAAUGGAAAAUGAUUAAUUUCUUUAUUGACAGAAUUAACGAGUUUCUCCUUUUUCUAUAUGUUCAAAGUGUCAACAACCAAAAAGGCCUAACAUUGAAAAUACCCAAUAGACCAAGAAGAUUUUUGGUUUUAAUCAAUCUCUACAAUGAAUCAACGACUGAACCUUUUCCGUUUUGUUGGAUGAUUUUUAAUAUUUUCUUUUCCUGGUAAUCUAAUUGUUUACCUACCGGCCAACAAAAAUUUUGACAUCAACUUAUUGGCCUGACAAUCUAUUUAACACUAAUUUUCUGGUCCUCUGAUCCAUUAAAACUAACAUUUUAAUGUUCGUGUGUACGGAAAAUUUAAUGAAUGACCUGAGUUAUAUGUUAUCCGGUGAUAAUUGGGAUCGUAAUUGAAAACUGUAACAACAACAGGAGCAAAAAAAAACAAGAUGACAAAACUCAAGAUGAGAUGGAGAGAAAAUUAAUUUGUGUCCAAAAAACUAUAAAUACUAUCGGUACAAUCUAAUAAUUUGUUGUUGAUUGUAAUUGAGAUAUUAGUUGAUUACAUGAAGACUUCAAUUAACCAUCAUCGCGAUCACUGGACAACAAUCAAAGAGAUACAAACACAGGAUUAAUUGGUUGGAAUCUAAUUGUUAAUGGGAACCGGAAAAAGUUUCAAUUCCAUUUUGGAUUAAUCAACGAUCCAUGAGUGUUAUGAUUGUUUUUAUUAAUCCUCAUUCUUCAUCAUGAAAGUGAUGAAAAAAAAAAUAGAUUCACAUGAUAAACGUUUCGUUUGCACUGAAAAUGUGAUUUGAUUCAAUUUCUCACAUAAUUGAAUUAAUAUUCAAUGUUUACUUUUAAUUAUCUCUUAUUGGUGUUUGAGCUUAUCAUGGAAUUGGAAAUUUUUUCUGCCUCUCACCAGAACAACCGUUGAUUAUCCAGGAUAAUUAUCUAAUUGUGGUGGACAUUUUUUUAUUACCUUGUCCAUCAAAAUGUUAUGUGGUUAACAAUGUUUUGAGAAUUGACUCAAUUAUUUGUGGAAAAGAUUACUAAUUGUAAAGGAGCAACAAUCAACCUCUUCCGGCAACCAUUUCAUCAACUUGUCUUUCAUUCAUCAGUUGAUUCAAUGGAGACUUUUUUCAAUUAUGGUUAAAGCAAAAAUCAAUCACUUUAUUAUAUAGUUAAUUUGGACUCUAACAAUAUGGAUGGACAAUCAAAUGAUUAAAAAAUUACUGAUUACCAUUGGAAAAGAAAUUACAUUAGAUACAAUUGAAUUUAAAUUGUCUAUCAUUGGAAAUUUACUCUAGAGUUAUACCUGUUAAUUGUUACCACUAAUUUGCUCAACAAUUGAUGGCACUUUUGACCAUCAUUAAGCAAUUAUAAGGGUAUUUAUGUGUUGGUUGGUUAAACAUUUUCUGCUUUGGUUGAUCAAAUGGAACUUUAAAUUAUUCUUAACAAUUUAAAUAGCACAAAAUCAAAUGAAUACAUACUCAUAAUACACACUCACACACGAGAACAAGAUAAUUCUGAUUGCUGACAAUUUCAUCUUAUUACAGAUUGAGAUCAGAAAGAUGUAUCAAAACGUAUUGGAAAAGGAAGGAGUUGAGAUGUCAAAGUUAAAUGCCAUCAGCAAUCAGUGAACUGAAAAGUUUCCUGUUCAAUCAGUUUAAUCGUCAUUUAUUUCAAGUCAAUAAUGGUAAAGAUGAAGAUGAUGAGGAUGGAGAAGAAGUAAAAAAGAUGACGAUAAAUUCAAGGAGGAAGGAGACAGAAAGUAAAACAUUGAUGAUGAUGGAGCGUGGCCUUCCGAUUGGGGUGAGGUGUUGGUGAUGAUGAUGAUGUGGGAGAGAAGGAGCUUCAAGUUUCUGCAAAAACGUUUCAUUGAUCAUCCUCAUCAAUCUUACUCUCGACUCAUAUUCUUACAAUCAAAACGUAAAUUAACUGUUAUCUGUUUACUUGAUUUUCCGUUUCUUUCAUCAAGAUUAUAAACAGUAACUGUUAAUUUAGAUCAAAUUAAACCAGUUGUCCAGUCAACAACUACUAAUCAAAUUGUUUGCCUAUCACUAUCAAGGUUAAUUGUUGGUUUAGGUAAUAACAAUCUCCAUUGUCGACAGUUAUCAAUUAUGAUGAUAUUGAAUUAUCAUUUAAUUGGUUUGAUUGUCAAUUUGUUUUAAUCAAUUCUUUCAGAAACAAUUAUUAUUAUAAUAAUUCAAAAACGAUCAACUAAUUAACUUUUUGAAGGGGAUUUAAUUAAAAGUUGUAACCAUUAUUAAUUAAGCUCAAGAAUAUUGAUUUAAACGAGAUUGAAAACCUUGUUUAAAUUUGAUUUAAAAUUAAUUGUUGAUUAUAAUUAUUAUAAAACUUUAGAGGUCAGUUAAUUGUUUGUAGUUUUUUUUGCUUCAAAAUCAAUGAAAAUGAUCAGCAAUCAAUUUAAAUAAUAAUAACCAACGUUUGAGUUGAUUAAAUGAUUAAUUUACUUCACACUUAAUCCCCUAAUUUUAUUUGCUACAACAAUUAACUCAAUCAAUGAAUUUGAUGAUAUCCAUGGUAUUAAUUGUUAACUGCAGACAAAAAUCAUUAUUGAAACAAUUAAAAGUUAAUAUAAUGAAUUGUUAUUGUUGAUACAAUUUCAGUUCAACCCAGUGAAAGUUAACAAACAAAAAGUUAAUUGAAUCAAUCGGCUUAAUUGUUUACUAAAAUCAUGAAAAGUAAACACCAAAACAAAACAAUUUAAAUUGUCACAAAUGUGAAAAAUUUUCAUUAAUCUCAGGAAUUGAGGGAAAAAGUAAAUUAACAACAACAAUUAACGAUUGAGAUCAACAAUCGACCAAGAAUUUGACCAAAUUAUUAAGGAAAAUAGUUAAUCUAAUUUUCGUUUCGAUGAGGAUUAAGAUUAAAAUGAUUAAGAAAAUCAGAUAAACAAAUUCUCAAUGAUAAAUCACCUUAAUCUUGAUUCAUCUUAAUCUGAUUAUCUCGUCAUUAUAUCAACAAUUAUCUUCUUAAUCAUGAUGAUUACUACAAUUAUCUUUUCAUUUCUCUUUUUCUUUUGUCAUCUGUUUCCUAAAAUAAGUUAAUCAUCAAUUGAUCCAGUUACUUGGUUGCCCUUACAUAUAAGUUACACCUUAAUUGUAAUCAACAUCAUCAACAAUUAACAGUUAAAAGUGAUUAGAAUCACUUUCUCCUGAAUCAAUGGUUGAACAUUUGAUUGAAAUCCUGUAGUAGAAAAAAAUUAACAUAUCAAUC